rnacentral:rRNA from 1 species
CAGGCCUAACACAUGCAAGUCGAACGGGCACCUUCGGGUGUCAGUGGCAGACGGGUGAGUAACACGUGGGAACGCGCCCUUCGGUUCGGAAUAACUCAGGGAAACUUGAGCUAAUACCGGAUACGCCCUUUGGGGGAAUGGUUUACUGCCGAAGGAUCGGCCCGCGUCUGAUUAGCUAGUUGGUGGGGUAACGGCCCACCAAGGCGACGAUCAGUAGCUGGUCUGAGAGGAUGAUCAGCCACACUGGGACUGAGACACGGCCCAGACUCCUACGGGAGGCAGCAGUGGGGAAUAUUGGGCAAUGGGCGCAAGCCUGACCCAGCCAUGCCGCGUGCAGGAUGAAGGCGCUCAGCGUUGUAAACUGCUUUUAUCUAGGAAGAACGGCAGUCUUGCGGGAUUGUGUGACGGUACUAGAGGAAUAAGCACCGGCUAACUCCGUGCCAGCAGCCGCGGUAAU